rnacentral:rRNA from 1 species
GAUGAACGCUAGCGGCAGGCCUAACACAUGCAAGUCGAGGGGCAUCGCGGUGCAGCAAUGCACUGGCGGCGACCGGCGUACGGGUGCGUAACGCGUAUGCAACCUGCCCCGCACCGGGGGAUAGCCCGCCGAAAGGCGGAUUAAUACCCCAUGGUCCCGGGGGCCCGCAUGGGCAUCCGGGUAAAGCCUUGGCGGUGCGGGAUGGGCAUGCGUGCCAUUAGCUGGCUGGUGGGGUAACGGCCCACCAGGGCAACGAUGGCUAGGGGGUCUGAGAGGAUGGUCCCCCACACUGGUACUGAGACACGGACCAGACUCCUACGGGAGGCAGCAGUGAGGAAUAUUGGUCAAUGGGCGAGAGCCUGAACCAGCCAAGUCGCGUGAAGGAAGAAGGAUCUAUGGUUCGUAAACUUCUUUUCCAGGGGGAAAUAAUCCUGUCGUGACAGGACUUGACGGUACUCUGGGAAUAAGCAUCGGCUAACUCCGUGCCAGCAGCCGCGGUAAA